rnacentral:rRNA from 1 species
CCUACGGGGGGCAGCAGUGAGGAAUAUUGGUCAAUGGACGAGAGUCUGAACCAGCCAAGUAGCGUGAAGGAUGACUGCCCUAUGGGUUGUAAACUUCUUUUAUAUGGGAAUAAAAUGUUCCACGUGUGGGAUUUUGUAUGUACCAUAUGAAUAAGGAUCGGCUAACUCCGUGCCAGCAGCCGCGGUAAUACGGAGGAUCCGAGCGUUAUCCGGAUUUAUUGGGUUUAAAGGGAGCGUAGGUGGAUUGUUAAGUCAGUUGUGAAAGUUUGCGGCUCAACCGUAAAAUUGCAGUUGAAACUGGCAGUCUUGAGUACAGUAGAGGUGGGCGGAAUUCGUGGUGUAGCGGUGAAAUGCUUAGAUAUCACGAAGAACUCCGAUUGUGAAGGCAGUUCACUGGACUGCAACUGACACUGAGGCUCGAAAGUGUGGGUAUCAAACAGGAUUAGAUACCCCAGUAGUC